GACGAACGCUGGCGGCGUGCUUAACACAUGCAAGUCGAACGAUGAACCCGGAGCUUGCUCCGGUGGAUUAGUGGCGAACGGGUGAGUAACACGUGAGUAACCUGCCCUUGACUCUGGGAUAACUGCGGGAAACUGUAGCUAAUACCGGAUACGACCCUCGGCGGCAUCGCCAGGGGGUGGAAAGAAUUUCGGUCAGGGAUGGACUCGCGGCCUAUCAGCUAGUUGGUGAGGUAACGGCUCACCAAGGCGACGACGGGUAGCCGGCCUGAGAGGGUGACCGGCCACACUGGGACUGAGACACGGCCCAGACUCCUACGGGAGGCAGCAGUGGGGAAUUCUGGACAAUGGGCGAAAGCCUGAUCCAGCAAUGCCGCGUGUGUGAAGAAGGCCUUCGGGUUGUAAAGCACUUUUGUCAGGGAAGAAAAGGCUCCUUCUAAUAUAGGGGGCUCAUGACGGUACCUGAAGAAUAAGCACCGGCUAAC
rnacentral:rRNA from 1 species